rnacentral:lncRNA from 1 species
GUCUGGUGCGGGCAGGGUGGGCAGGCUGGGUUGAAGAUCCAUGGAUAGCGGGUGGCCGCGUGGCUCAAGCUGCAAGGGGGCCACUGCCUGAUGAAUUGCCAGAGGGGAACCACCAGCUCGGCUCUUAAUAACCGGAUCUGCAUCCUGCUGCUGCCCAGCUGGGCUGAGGGCCCUGACCACAGCUAAGGGGAGUCAUCACAGGGCUUCAGGGCUGGAAUUCCAGUGCUGCAGGAUGAGUGGCGCUGGUCUCGGGAUCCGCAGAGUCUACAGGGCCCUGGGCUUGGACACCGUCUCAGGGGUUUGUGCCUUCAGAGCCUGGUGGAGCAGCCAAGCAACUGGGCACAUGAAGACAAAGGUUUCUGCAAGAAUGACGGGCAGCAUGAUGCUCAGCUGCAUGUGGAGGCACUGAGGCUGGACGAACCCUUGGGACGGGCAGCCCAGCGGGUGGGUGAGGCCAUCUUCCCCAUCUACCCGAGGCCAGACCAACCCCGCAUGAACCCAAAGGCUCAGGAUCACGAGGACCUGUACCGCUACUGUGGCAACCUGGCUCUGCUCCGGGCUAGCACGGACCCCACAGCCCGACACUGUGGGAGCCUGGCCUACAGUGUGGCCUUCCACGUCCACCGGGGCCCUCAGCCUCCAGUCUCAGACAGCCCUCCCAGGGCUGGCCAGCCAGAACUGAUGUCACCAUGCCCAGAGCCCCAGCUCCCCAUACUGCAGAACUGAUGAUGGUCAUGGGGGGCAGUGGAGCAGGGGCAGGAGAGCAGGAUGAGCAGGAAUGCAAUAAUCAAGAUGAUCCAGAAUGAGAAGGAAGCGGAAGACAAGGCUCAGUGUGAGACCAGGGUCAGAGCUCAGCAAACUUCCACGACUGGCUUUGAAUCAGAAUCAUUUUGCUUCUCAGCCACGGCCCCUGGGUUACACAGCCUUAAAUGGCCCUGCCAAUGCUGGUCACAGCAUUCCCUAGUCCUGGAGACUCGGGAACUAAAACAAUCAAUUCCCCUGAGCAAUAAAAUUAUGGACAGUGAACACCUUCGCUUCUCCAGUCCCCAAGCUUCCUGCUCUGUGUGGGUGGGGAGGUGAUGGUGG